AUUGAACGCUGGCGGUAUGCUUAACACAUGCAAGUCGAACGGUAACAGGUCGCUGUGAUCUCUUCGGAGUGAACUUGACGCUGACGAGUGGCGGACGGGUGAGUAACACUUAGGAAUCUGCCCAGUAGUGGGGGACAACACGGGGAAACUCGUGCUAAUACCGCAUACGCCCUAAGGGGGAAAGUGGAGGAUCUUCGGACUUCACGCUAUUGGAUGAGCCUAAGUCGGAUUAGCUUGUUGGUGAGGUAAUGGCUCACCAAGGCGACAAUCCGUAGCUGGUCUGAGAGGACGAUCAGCCACACUGGGACUGAGACACGGCCCAG
rnacentral:rRNA from 1 species